GACGAACGCUGGCGGCGUGCUUAACACAUGCAAGUCGAACGGAAAGGCCUGCUUUCCCUUGUGGAUUGCGGGUACUCGAGUGGCGAACGGGUGAGUAACACGUGAGUGAUCUGCCCCCAACUUGGGUAUAAGCCUGGGAAACUGGGUCUAAUUCCCGAUAGGACUGCAGGGUGGUGCCUGUGGUGGAAAACGAUUUUCUAGUGGUUGGGGAUGAGCUCGCGGCCUAUCAGCUUGUUGGUGGGGUAAUGGCCUACCAAGGCGGCGACGGGUAGCCGGCCUGAGAGGGUGGACGGGGACAUUGGGACUGAGAUACGGCCCAGACGGCGACGGGAGGCAGCAGUGGGGAAUAUUGGACAAUAGGCGGAAGCCUGAUGCAGCGACGGCGCGUGGGGGAUGACGGCCUUCGGGUGGUAAACUCCUUUGGACCGAGAGGAAGCCACCUGGUUGGAAGGGUGGUGACGGUAGUGGUAGAAGAAGCACCGGCUAACUACGUG
rnacentral:rRNA from 1 species